AUUGAACGCUGGCGGCAGGCCUAACACAUGCAAGUCGAGCGGAUGAUGGGAGCUUGCUCCUUGAUUCAGCGGCGGACGGGUGAGUAAUGCCUAGGAAUCUGCCUGGUAGUGGGGGACAACGUUUCGAAAGGAACGCUAAUACCGCAUACGUCCUACGGGAGAAAGCAGGGGACCUUCGGGCCUUGCGCUAUCAGAUGAGCCAAGGUCGGAUUAGCUAGUUGGUGGGGUAAUGGCUCACCAAGGCGACGAUCCGUAACUGGUCUGAGAGGAUGAUCAGUCACACUGGAACUGAGACACGGUCCAGACUCCUACGGGAGGCAGCAGUGGGGAAUAUUGGACAAUGGGCGAAAGCCUGAUCCAGCCAUGCCGCGUGUGUGAAGAAGGUCUUCGGAUUGUAAAGCACUUUAAGUUGGGAGGAAGGGCAGUAAGUUAAUACCUUGCUGUUUUGACGUUACCGACAGAAUAAGCACCGGCUAACUCUGUGCCAGCAGCCGCAGUAACAC
rnacentral:rRNA from 1 species